AUACGUAGGUGGCGAGCGUUGUCCGGAAUUACUGGGCGUAAAGGGUGCGUAGGCGGUUAUAAAAGUCAGAUGUGAAAUUCCGGGGCUCAACUUCGGAAUUGCAUUUGAAACUUUAUAGCUAGAGUGCAGGAGAGGGAAGCGGAAUUCCUAGUGUAGCGGUGAAAUGCGUAGAUAUUAGGAAGAACACCAGUGGCGAAGGCGGCUUUCUGGACUGUAACUGACGCUGAGGCACGAGAGCGUGGGGAGCAAACAGGAUUAGGUACCCUGGUAGUCCACGCUGUAAACGAUGAGUGCUAGGUGUAGGAGGUAUCGACACCUUCUGUGCCGCAGUAAACGCAAUAAGCACUCCGCCUGGGGAGUACGGUCGCAAGACUAAA
rnacentral:rRNA from 1 species